rnacentral:misc_RNA from 1 species
UCCCCGUUGGCCGGGGCAGUCUCGCCUGAAAAAUUCAACAGACAAUAAGGGUUGCGCUCGUUGCGGGACUUAACCCAACAUCUCACGACACGAGCUGACGACGGCCAUGCAACAUCUGUCACCGCGUUCCCGAAGGCACUCUCACGUUUCCGCAAGAUUCGCGGGAUGUCAAGCCUCGGUAAGGUUCUACGCGUAGCUUCGGAUUAAACCACAUGCUCCACUGCUUGUGCGGAUCCCCGUCAAUUCCUUUGAGUUUUAAGCUUGCGCUCGUACUCCCCAGGCGGGAUGCUUAACGCGUUAGCUUCUCAGCCCAGAGGGUCGAUACUCCAGACUAAUAGCAUCCAUCGUUUACGGCGUGGACUAC